rnacentral:misc_RNA from 1 species
GGAAGAGAAGAGAACCACGAGUUGAGAGAAUCGGGGUGAGUCGAGUCGGAAGAGUCUGGGGAAAACGGUGCCGUUUUGAUGAGGAAACGAUCAGAUGGAGACCGAGGGAGAGAGGGUGGGAGAUGGGUUUGGGGUCUGAGUAUGAUUUGAAAGGUGGUAAAGGAUGAAGGAGGAAUAAGCCCAGUCGGUGGGUUAACCAGGAACUUGUGAGGCGAUGACGUUUGCACCUUGAAGGCUAUUUGGGUGGUGGCAGAGAGAGACCUGAGGCGGACGUUGGCUCGGCAUUUGGAAUUGAGCAUAAAGUCUAGACGAACCUCUGAGUCUGAUACUUCGACAAGCGGCCUCUC